AGGUGAAUCCCCAGAAAGCUAAGCUUUUUGCUUAGCUUUCUUCAUCUGCAAAAUGGGAGUAACAAAACCACCUCCCUGGUUUGGGAUGGAAAUUUACUGAGAUAAUAAAUGCAAGUCAGAGCCUGGCAAAAAGGCCUGCUCAUCAUGGCCAGCCUCUGGUGACAGUUUAGAUUCUAAUCAGCAAUAAUAAUGACAGCAAAAUAGCCAUGAUGAGCCAUGGUUUUGUCAGAGGAGUCCCACCACUCUGAGAAUUCUGCUUCUGACCAGGUUUCCACCCAGUGGGCUGGUGGCAGGUGUGUGGGGGUCGGGGUGGCGUCAUGGAAUCCAGAUCUAAUUUCUUGUGCUGAUUUGGAGGGUUCUGCAUGGUGUAUGUUUCUGUCUAUGCUACCUUGGGGGCUGCUGGCUUGUCCCAUCUCUUCGAAGAGUGAGUCUGGGGGUGUAUAUAAUACUGCAAGGGGUUUGUGGCUCCACAGAGAGAUCAAUGAUGGGGGAGGAUGAUACAGGACAGAGAGCUUUUUGCUAAGAGGUAGACCAGGUAGGAGCUAGAACAUGGGCUGAGGGGUGGUUCUGGUUUUGUGCCCUGUUAGGUGUCUGAGACCCAACCUGGUCUCAGAGGGGCCCAGUGUAUGUAGCUCCCAGGGCAGGGCCUGACAACAGAGCUAGUGGGGCUAAAGAUGACCUUGGCCGGGGAUGGGCCAAACCUUUAACUGAUAGGUCACAGAUCCAGUGCAGUGUGAAGGGGCUUGUCCAAGGCCAUGGCUGCUGGUAAGCACAGGCUUAGGGUACACAUAGCAGAGUGCCAGCCAGCUUGGUGAAUUAAUCGCAACAUGUACAAAUCAGGUGAUUGUAGGCAUUUUGAGAAAAAUCUGUGGUUGGGGUCUUCUCUAGGGAAAAAUCAGGUCUGCUGAAACUGAGAUUUUUCCUGAGAUGUCAAAAAUAGCCAAAUGGAAUCGCGUUGUGGCUGUUUCCUUUAGCCUGAGUGGGUUCUACCUAGUAAGGUAAGCUCCUGCCGCUCAGUCACUGUGCUGGUCAAACCCAGCCCAUCUGGGUAUUUGUGAUACAUGUUGUAAAAAAUAAAUAAGUAAAUAAAUAAAAUAAUAUUUUAGAAGAAGGGAAUGACAUUGGUUCUUUCUCUCAUUUCCUUUUCUGGCAGUGUUCAUUUUCUGGCCUGUGUAUCCCAACACAUGGCAGCUGCUGUUCUGGAAUAAGUGUUGAAUAAAUACAUUUGCAUUAAAUGAAUGAAGGAAUGAAUGAACUGUAAUUGAUACACUGACUUGAGAGCAGAAGCCAAGUUCAAAUCCUGACUGCCUCCUAAGUGCUGAGUGACUUUGAACAAAUCGUAUCAUCUCUUUCUUUCUUUCUUUUUUUUUAGGGGGAUAGGUGGAGAGGAGAACCAUUGUGGAUUUUAUAUAAAUUUAAGCAGUGCAACUUCACAUUUCAUUAUUAAGAAAGUACAAAAAGGCUUCCAGGGAAGUCUUCUCCUUCCUAUCCCUUCCGGCCACUUCUGGCCUAGGGAAAACCAGGGUUACCCCUAUCUGGUUCAUCUUUCCAGAGCUGCUUUAUAUACAUGCAGUGAAAUACAUAAAGGCUCUGGUUUAUCCAUUUGACGUAGAUGGUGACAUAGAUGGUGACGGUUCUUUGUUUAGUGCAACUCUGGGAAGCAUCCUGGGCAGUGUGUAAGAGCUUUCUUCUGUUUUAGAGCUGCAUAGUGUUCCAGGGUGUAGGCUGUCGUGGGGCACACAGCCAGCCUUCUGUUAGGGGACAUUUAGGUUGUUUCCAGCCCAUGGCUUGUGUGAGGAAGGCUGGAGUAAAAACCCUCAUUCCACAAGUCACUUGACAUGCUGGAGUGAGAUUCCUGGAAGUAGAGCUGCUUGGUCAGUGGGCACGACCUUUGUCAUUUCAGGAACUCCAUUUUGGUCCAGUUUCCCUCUGUGACGUUCACCCCACACGGCUCUACCUCAGCAGCGUGUACGAGUGCCCAUGUCCUCUCCACCUGGUCACGUGCCAGUUCUUGGAGGCUGGGAGGGCUUUAUGAAGAACAUAGUGUUAAUUAAAAAUACUAACACUAGCUACAACUUUCCAGGUUCCUACUCUGAGUCUUGCCGUGAUCUUAAGUUAUCCCAUUGUUAUCCUUAAAAACACUGAGAUCACUAUUACACCCAUUUGGCAGGCAAGGAAAGGGAAAUUUAGAGCAUAUGAGUAACUUAUCCAAGUGCCCAGGUAGUAAAUUGUGGAAGUGGGAUUUGAACCAGAGUUGGUCAGAUUUCAAUACCGUGAUGUUCACAGAUG
rnacentral:lncRNA from 1 species